GCCGGGCACCAUGGCAUGUGCCUGUGGUCCCAGCUACUGGGGAUACUGAGGCCGGAGGACUGCUAGAGCCCAGGAGUUCUGAGCUGCAAUGCACUGUGUCUAUCGGGUGUCCGCACUAAGUUCGGCAUCAGUGUGGCGACCUCCUGGGAGCAGGGGACCACCAGGUUGCCUAAGGAGAGGUGAACUGGUCCAGGUUGGAAACGGAGCAGGUCAAAACUCCCAUGCUGAUCAGCAGUGGGAUCACGCCUGUGAAUAGCCACUGCACUCCAGCCUGGGCAACACAGUGAGACACUGCCUCUA
rfam:Gorilla gorilla gorilla genomic chromosome, chr16, whole genome shotgun sequence